CACGCCGCGUGAGUGAUGAAGGUUUUCGGAUCGUAAAGCUCUGUUGUUAGGGAAGAACAAGUACCGUUCGAAUAGGGCGGUACCUUGACGGUACCUAACCAGAAAGCCACGGCUAACUACGUGCCAGCAGCCGCGGUAAUACGUAGGUGGCAAGCGUUGUCCGGAAUUAUUGGGCGUAAAGGGCUCGCAGGCGGUUUCUUAAGUCUGAUGUGAAAGCCCCCGGCUCAACCGGGGAGGGUCAUUGGAAACUGGGGAACUUGAGUGCAGAAGAGGAGAGUGGAAUUCCACGUGUAGCGGUGAAAUGCGUAGAGAUGUGGAGGAACACCAGUGGCGAAGGCGACUCUCUGGUCUGUAACUGACGCUGAGGAGCGAAAGCGUGGGGAGCGAACAGGAUUAGAUACCCUGGUAGUCCACGCCGUAAACGAUGAGUGCUAAGUGUUAGGGGGUUUCCGCCCCUUAGUGCUGCAGCUAACGCAUUAAGCACUCCGCCCUGGGGAGA
rnacentral:rRNA from 1 species